rnacentral:lncRNA from 1 species
GCAGAGAGCAGGAGUCCCAGCCUGGUGGGGCUGCAUUAGAGUCAGGUCCCUGCAAUCCCACCAGGGAUUCCACGGGUGCUCUCCUGCUGUCCUCUAAUGCCCAGGAGCUCAUGGCGGGGUCUGCUUUACUUCUAAGGAGACUGAGGCAGAACUGCAAGCAUCUGCCCUAUUUGAUGCACAGAGAGAGUGCAACUUACUGGACUUAUUGCAGGAGUCGCAUCCAACAAGAGAGCGGGGCCUGGAGGAGAG